rnacentral:lncRNA from 1 species
GGAGGAUGAACUCAUCCUUCACAGACAAAAUAUAGGGAAGAUGAACUUCCCCAAAAUGCAUGUACCUAUUUAAAAACCAAAUCCCAUGUAUUUUUCUGCACUGAGAUUACUGGUAUUGAUCAGAUGAUUAACGUUGUAACACAUUUUGAACUUUAGAAUACUUCUCCUUCCCUCAGGCAGAUAAUUCUUUGUUUGCCUUUAUGUCUUCAUUUUCCUGUGUUGUCCAUGCAAUUUCUUCAUUUUCAGUUAUUGUACAAAGAAAUUGACUGCAGAAUGUGUAACUAAAAAUAGAGGUUUUGGUGGUGAACUCUAGUCAAAACAUUGCAAGAAAACUGCUACCAAGAGGCAUGAAUUACCUGUACUAACUUUCUCCUCCAGGUCUUUAGCCCUGUCUUGUCUCCUACCUGUGAAGGUUAGUAUCAGGCUACCACAACGUACUAAGGGAAAGCAGAAUCUGCUUCCUUGCUUGUCAUUGGAGCUAACCUUUUUCCUCUUUCCUUUUCCCUUUCCUUUCUUUUUCCACAAACACAGCUUUUGCACAAAUGCAGAGAUUUUUCUUGCUUUCAUCCUGCAGCAGUGGUACUUUGUGGACAAGCCAGUCUCUGGUGACGGAGAUCACAGGUGGAGUGCUGCUGCAGUGGCUCCUGAAAACUUCAUCUUUCUUUGGAGUGAAUUGGAGGCAAGGUGAUGAAAAAGGCAAGAGCUGCAUUUGAAUGAGAGAUUGAUCACAGAGACUGAAAGUGACAGCCCUAUCACAUUUGUUUGUGGACUUUGGAGACAGACAGAAAGGAUGAGCAAUUGACAAGGAGGUAGUUUGGAAGAGAAAAUGGAAAAAUAUGGAAGAGUGUAAUUCCACCAGAGCAAUGACUUCUUCUCUUCUGAGUUUCUAUUUGCAUAAGAAAACUAUAAAAAGGAAAGGGCAGCACAGAUUUGUUUGUUUGUUUGAACAAGUCAUUUGAUUUUGGAGAACUGUCUUGGUUUUUCAAAAGUCUUUUAUUUUGGAAUUAAACUCUGCAUCUUGGACAAGGCA